rnacentral:rRNA from 1 species
CCUACGGGUGGCAGCAGUGGGGAAUAUUGGGCAAUGGGCGCAAGCCUGACCCAGCAACGCCGCGUGAAGGAUGAAGGUUUUCGGAUUGUAAACUUCUGUCGCGAGGGACGAAGAAUGACGGUACCUCGUAAGAAAGCCCCGGCUAACUACGUGCCAGCAGCCGCGGUAAUACGGAGGGUGCAAGCGUUACUCGGAAUCACUGGGCGUAAAGAGCGCGUAGGCGGGAUAGCAAGUCAGAUGUGAAAUCCUAUGGCUUAACCAUAGAACUGCAUUUGAAACUGUUAUUCUAGAGUAUGGGAGAGGUAGGUGGAAUUCUUGGUGUAGGGGUAAAAUCCGUAGAGAUCAAGAGGAAUACUCAUUGCGAAGGCGACCUGCUAGAACAUAACUGACGCUGAUGCGCGAAAGCGUGGGGAGCAAACAGGAUUAGAUACCCGUGUAGUC